rnacentral:lncRNA from 1 species
AUAGCCGGAUCAUCCAUUGUCCCGUCUAACCGUCUGGUUACGAUCUAGGUGCGAUCGGCAAGUUAUAAGUCCGGCCCAAAGGCUCACGGUCCUUCUUACCUGAUCCAAACCAGAGCCUGGAUCUAUACCACCGAGUAAGGCCCAAGCCCAUACCGGAUUGCCUUGCAACCGAUCAGACCUUGCGACACAACACUCCGGUUAAACUAACCGUCCGUCCGUUCGACGAUGCAGCCGCGGACUGUCCACUUGGUUCGGCCUAAGCCUUGAACCAAUGGCACCGUUUGGAACUCACACCCUUUGGGAACUAGUACCAUUUAGACACUCGUGCCUCUUGACAACUCA